UACAGAGGGUGCGAGCGUUAAUCGGAAUUACUGGGCGUAAAGGGUGCGUAGGUGGUUAGAUGAGUUAGGUGUGAGAGCCCCGGGCUUAACCUGGGAAUGGCGCCUAAUACUGUUUAGCUUGAGUACUGUAGAGGAAGGUGGAAUUUCCGGUGUAGCGGUGAAAUGCGUAGAUAUCGGAAGGAACAUCAGUGGCGAAGGCGACUUUCUGGACAGAUACUGACACUGAGGCACGAAAGCAUGGGGAGCAAACAGG
rnacentral:rRNA from 1 species